ACGCUUGCUGCAUGCUUUAUACAUGCAAGUCGAACGGAGGCCCUAGCUUGCUAGGUGUCCUUAGUGGCGCACGGGUGAGUAACACGUGGGAACAUACCUUAUAGUACGGAAUAACUGCGGGAAACUGUAGCUAAUACCGUAUAUUCCAGUAAUGGGAAAGAUUUAUCGCUAUAAGAUUGGCCCGCGCAAGAUUAGUUUGUUGGUGAGGUAAAAGCUCACCAAGGCUUCGAUCUUUAGCUGGUUUGAGAGGACGAUCAGCCACACUGGGACUGAGACACGGCCCAGACUCCUACGGGAGGCAGCAGUAGGGAAUAUUGGACAAUGGGGGCAACCCUGAUCCAGCAAUGCAGCGUGAGUGACGAAGGCCUUAGGGUUGUAAAACUCUUUCAUCGGUGAGGAUAAUGACAGUAGCCGAAGAAGAAGGACCGGCUAAUUCCGUGCCAGCAGCCGCGGUAAUACGGAAGGUCCUAGCGUUGUUCGGAAUUACUGGGCGUAAAGCGCAUGUAGGCGGAACAGAAAGUUAGAAGUGAAAUCCCUGGGCUCAACCUAGGAAUUGCUUUUAAAACUUCUGUUCUGGAAUUCAGGAGAGGAAAAUGGAAUUUCCAGUGUAGAGGUGAAAUUCGUAGAUAUUGGAAGGAACACCAGUGGCGAAGGCGAUUUUCUGGACUGAUAUUGACGCUGAGAUGCGAAGGCAUGGGUAGCAAACGGGAUUAGAUACCCCGGUAGUCCAUGCAGUAAACGAUGGGUGCUAGUCGUCGGACUUUUGUUCGGUGUCGUAGCUAACGCGUUAAGCACCCCGCCUGGGGAGUACGGUCGCAGAAUAACUCAAAUGAUGACGG
rnacentral:rRNA from 1 species